AAAGUGAAGAGUUUGAUCCUGGCUCAGAUUGAACGCUGGCGGCAUGCCUAACACAUGCAAGUCGAACGGAAACGAUUAAGAGCUUGCUCUUAAGGCGUCGAGUGGCGGACGGGUGAGGAAUGCAUAGGAAUCUGCCCAGUAGCGGGGGACAACCUGGGGAAACUCAGGCUAAUACCGCAUACGCCCUACGGGGGAAAGCAGGGGAUCUUCGGACCUUGCACUAUUGGAUGAGCCUAUGCCUGAUUAGCUUGUUGGUGGGGUAACGGCCUACCAAGGCGACGAUCAGUAGCUGGUCUGAGAGGACGAUCAGCCACACUGGGACUGAGACACGGCCCAGACUCCUACGGGAGGCAGCAGUGGGGAAUAUUGCACAAUG
rnacentral:rRNA from 1 species